rnacentral:rRNA from 1 species
UAUCUCUGUAGAGUCUGCAUAUCAAUAAGCGGAGGAAAAGAAACUAACAAGGAUUCCCUUAGUAACGGCGAGUGAAGCGGGAAGAGCUCAAAUUUGAAAUCUUCAAGGUUCUACCUUGACGAAUUGUAGUUUAAAGAAGUGUUUUCUGUUAGAUGAGUAGCAAAAGUUCCUUGGAAUGGGACAUCAUAGAGGGUGAGAAUCCCGUAUUUGGUUAUUCAUUCUAGCUUUGUGAUACACUUUCAAAGAGUCGGAUUGUUUGGGAAUGCAGUCCAAAAUGGGUGGUAAAUUUCAUCUAAAGCUAAAUAUUGGCGAGAGACCGAUAGCGAACAAGUACCGUGAGGGAAAGAUGAAAAGAACUUUGAAAAGAGAGUUAAACAGUACGUGAAAUUGUCAAAAGGGAAGCGUUUGACACCAGUGUUGUUUUUCCGAAAAUCAAUUACGAAUGGCUUGAUUUUGUGUUGUAUUGACCUUAAAAGCUUUCUUCACUUUUUUCAUGUCUUUUUUAAUGCACUUUUCGUUUAACAAGUCAACAUCAAUUUCUUUUGUUGUAAAAGAGUAUUCGGAAGGUGGCUUUCUUUUCGGAGAAAGUGUUUAUAGCCCUAUACUUCUACAAUCGGAGAGAUUGAGGUCUGCAGCGUAGAUCCUUCGGGGUUAGAUACACUUGUGCUAAGUUGUAGCUUUUCAUAGACAACUUGUUGACUAUGUUUAGUCAUGCGGCUUACUCGCUUAUGCUAUUUUACCUACGCUUAGGGAUGUUGACUGAUAUGUAGUCGUA